AGCAGCCCGACGUCCCCAGACUCGUGUUCCCUGGGGCAGGUCCCCCACUGCUCUAAUCCGUGUGCCUUGCAGUUGCCAAUGUUCCGGCACAGCAGAGAUGAUGAUGACGAUGACUUUGUGCUCACGGACAACCCCCUCACCCCCUCCUCGGCCACCAUCCCCACCAUGAAAACCCCCCAGUGCGAGCACAUCAGCCCCGGGAUGCUGGUGCCCAUCAACAGGGAGGACUACGACAGGCACGUCUGCAGGCUGCAGAAGAUGCGGGGCAGCCGAGGCACCUGGGACAAGGUCAAGAUGAAGUCGGUAAUGCUGCUUCCCCUGAGCGCGGCCUGGGCCCCUCUUAACGCGGGAAGAGAAUCGCGGGGUGGAAAACAGGAACUGUCCCCCACUUCUCUCAGAGAAGGGUUUUUCUGUUAGAAAAGAGCUAUUUCUUGUCAGGAUUGAAGACACUAAUUUUUUCAGGAUUUGGCACCGCUUUUGAUCUUUAGGUACAUCAGGUUCUCGCUGCGCUCUGCGCGGUGGAAAUGAAGUCUCUUGCGGGCCCAGCCGCUCCCCGUGCUGCUGUCGUUACUCCCCAGGCCGUGUAGCUCCAGCUUUCCUGGGAGAGGCCGAGAUCCCGGCCGGCUCCCACCUAGGGAAGCAUUUCCGGCAGCUGAGCGGUUCGAACGGGGCCCAGAUCCCCGCAGGCUGAGCCUGGGCCGGGUGCAGCAGCGGCCUAAGCCCGGCCUUUCUCUCCCCCGGCAGGGCGGGGAGGUGCAGGGGACGCCGGCCUCGCGCGCGGCCCGCUGGAGGCAGGUGAGCGCUCGUCCCCCUCCUGCCCGCGGCUGGUGACCCUGCUGUAGGCCGAAGCCCCUCAGAAGGGGCUUGGCCUGUCCCAGGCACCGCCAGGCCCUGACCUCCCCUCUCUGGUUGCAGGGGGGGCCCAGGCCUCGCUCGUGGGGAAGCUCUUCGCGGCCAAGGCACCAAACUCCUCAGACGACGAGGAGCAGGACGACUCCGAUUCUUCCGCUUAAGGACCUCGGUGGGUUUUAGCUCAGCGCUGCGGCACCUCUGGGGGGGAGCAGAGGAGGUGGACGCCCCUCGGGAGCUCCCGCCACCUUGAGGAACCCACCCGGGCCCCCCGCCCGCAGCGCUUUUACCUGGUUUAUGAACCCCGGCCGCCUCGUGCCCAGACACCGGUUUCUGUGUGCGCAAAGCUGCAUGUCCCGGCCCCGGCUCCUCCCCACAGCCCCUUCCCCAGGGGGAGGCACGGGGUACUGAGUACUGGCACGGUUUGAUUUUAAGCUAAAAAUGUCUCUCACGGGGCUGUCCCUCCUUCACACCUGUACAGCCCCAUACGAGUUGGAUUUGCCUUUUACUUUACUGGUUGGAUUUUUUACCUUUCCUUAAUGUAAUAAAAAAGUCUGAGCUUAUUUUACUCA
rnacentral:lncRNA from 1 species